UACGUAGGGGGCAAGCGUUGUCCGGAUUUAUUGGGCGUAAAGAGCGUGUAGGCGGUCUGGUAGGUCCGCUGUGAAAACUCGAGGCUUAACCUCGAGCUGUCGGCGGAAACCAUCUGGCUAGAGUCCGGAAGAGGAGAAUGGAAUUCCCGGUGUAGCGGUGAAAUGCGCAGAUAUCGGGAAGAACACCCGUGGCGAAGGCGGUUCUCUGGGACGGUACUGACGCUGAGACGCGAAAGCGUGGGGAGCGAACAGG
rnacentral:rRNA from 1 species